GAUGAACGCUAGCGGCAGGCUUAACACAUGCAAGUCGAGGGGUAACGGGGAUAGCUUGCUAUCUGCCGACGACCGGCGCACGGGUGCGUAACGCGUAUACAAUCUGCCUUGUACUGGGGAAUAGCCUUUGGAAACGAAGAUUAAUGCCCCAUGGUACCAUAUACCGGCAUCGGUUUUAUGGUUAAAGCUUCGGCGGUACGAGAUGAGUAUGCGUCCUAUUAGUUAGUUGGUGAGGUAACGGCUCACCAAGACUUCGAUAGGUAGGGGUCCUGAGAGGGAGAUCCCCCACACUGGUACUGAGACACGGACCAG
rnacentral:rRNA from 1 species